GGCUCAGAUUGAACGCUGGCGGCAGGCCUAACACAUGCAAGUCGAACGGUAACAGGAAGCAGCUUGCUGCUUUGCUGACGAGUGGCGGACGGGUGAGUAAUGUCUGGGAAACUGCCUGAUGGAGGGGGAUAACUACUGGAAACGGUGGCUAAUACCGCAUAACGUCGCAAGACCAAAGAGGGGGACCUUCGGGCCUCUUGCCAUCAGAUGUGCCCAGAUGGGAUUAGCUWGUUGGUGAGGUAACGGCUCACCAAGGCGACGAUCCCUAGCUGGUCUGAGAGGAUGACCAGCCACACUGGAACUGAGACACGGUCCAGACUCCUACGGGAGGCAGCAGUGGGGAAUAUUGCACAAUGGGCGCAAGCCUGAUGCAGCCAUGCCGCGUGUAUGAAGAAGGCCUUCGGGUUGUAAAGUACUUUCAGCGGGGAGGAAGGU
rnacentral:rRNA from 1 species